UACAGAGGUCCCAAGCGUUGUUCGGAUUCACUGGGCGUAAAGGGUGCGUAGGUGGCCAGGUAGGUUCGGUGUGAAAGCUCGGAGCUUAACUCCGAAAUGGCAUUGAAUACUAUCUGGCUAGAGGGUCGGAGGGGAGACUGGAAUUCUCGGUGUAGCAGUGAAAUGCGUAGAUAUCGAGAGGAACACCAGUGGCGAAGGCGAGUCUCUGGACGACUCCUGACACUGAGGCACGAAAGCCAGGGGAGCAAACAGG
rnacentral:rRNA from 1 species